GCCAGAGUGGUGCAAUGGUUUGAGCGUUGGGCUAGGACUCUGGGGGACCACGGUUCGAAUCCUGGCUCAGCCA